rnacentral:rRNA from 1 species
UAUGGAGGGUCCGAGCGUUAAUCGGAAUUACUGGGCGUAAAGCGUGCGCAGGCGGUUUGUUAAGCGAGAUGUGAAAGCCCUGGGCUUAACCUAGGAAUAGCAUUUCGAACUGGCGAACUAGAGUCUUGUAGAGGGGGGUAGAAUUCCAGGUGUAGCGGUGAAAUGCGUAGAGAUCUGGAGGAAUACCGGUGGCGAAGGCGGCCCCCUGGACAAAGACUGACGCUCAUGCACGAAAGCGUGGGGAGCAAACAGG